ACUCAAAUGAAUUGACGGGGGCCCGCACAAGCGGCGGAGCGUGCGGUUUAAUUCGACGCGACGCGCAGAACCUUACCUGGGUUUGACAUGUCCCUGCAGAGCCCUGAAAGGGGUUGGCCUUCGAGGGUGGGGCACAGGUGCUGCAUGGCUGUCGUCAGCUCGUGUCGUGAGAUGUUGGGUUAAGUCCCGCAACGAGCGCAACCCCCGCGGCCAGUUGCCAGAUGUUUCUGGCCGGACCGCCGGUAGCAAGCCGGAGGAAGGUGGGGAUGACGUCAAGUCAGCAUGGCCCUUACAUCCAGGGCAACACGCACGCUACAAUGGCCGGGACAGAGGGUCGCCAAGUCGUGAGGCGGAGCGAAUCCCACAAACCCGGUCUCAGUUCGGAUCGUGGGCUGCAACUCGCCCACGUGAAGGUGGAGUCGCUAGUAACCGCAGGUCAGCAUUACUGCGGUGAAUACGUUCCCGGGCCUUGUACACACCGCCCGU
rnacentral:rRNA from 1 species